UACGUAGGUGACCAGCGUUGUCCGGAUUUACUGGGCGUAAAGCGCGCGCAGGCGGUCGUUCAAGUCGAGUGUGAAAGCCCCCGGCUCAACUGGGGAGGGUCACUCGAUACUGAUCGACUGGAAGGCAGGAGAGGGAAGCGGAAUUCCCGGUGUAGUGGCGAAAUGCGUAGAUAUCGGGAGGAACACCAGUGGCGAAGGCGGCUUCCUGGCCUGUUCUUGACGCUGAGGCGCGAAAGCUAGGGGAGCAAACGGG
rnacentral:rRNA from 1 species